rnacentral:lncRNA from 1 species
GAAAGGGGCUCCCACAGUGCAGCGGUGGGCUGAAGGGCUCCUCAAGCGCGGCCAGAGUGGGCGCCAAGGCGGAGGAGGCCCGGAGAGCGAGCGUGGGCUGUGAGGUCGGCCAACACGCUGUCACCUCUCAGUAUCUUCUUAAAGAGGCUUACAAUAGUGGAAUAUGUUGAAUACUGAAGAGACUGAUUCACCUUGCUCUAAAGACCUGUGGUAGACAAACAUAUUUAAUGUAAGAUCUUUGCAUGGAUGUGUUCUUCAUUUAUCAUGGUACAUUCCUAGGAGUGGAAUUGCUGUGUCAUUUUGAAAAACAUGUUUCUCAACUAGAGAGGAACAGAAUGGACAAGUUGAAACAUUCUCAAAUAAGUCCAACACAACAAGGUCGUCAGCUGUAAGAAUGAGAGCAACAGUAUUAAACACUGGAGGUCCUGAAGCAGCUCAGGGAGGAAGAGAUGAGAAGAAUAUAUCCAGGCUGAUCCAUCAAUCCCAGAAGGAGAACAAGAAACACAUGGAGCAGAGCUAAGUUACCCAGCCUAGCUCAGCCUAGAUCAGCAUCCUGUAACAGGCCCCCAGCCUUGUGGGCUAAAUA